GUCCUGAGAAAGGGGAAAUGUGGCAGAGGAGUCAGACCUCUCUGGCAGACUUCCUCUUUGAAAGGCUCUUUGACGACUCCUUCACUCACUUUUUUCUUUUCUCCUUGACGAUGCUGGUUUCCCUCGUAGUGGUUAGUUUCAACACUCUCACCAUGCUCCUCAAAUAUGCUGUGACCAGGCUUCAUACACCCAUACUUCCUGCUCAGCCAGAUCUCCCUCAUGGAUCUGAUUCGUGUCUCCACAACCAUCCCCAAGAUGGCUACAAACUACCUUUCUGGCAAGAAGCCUGUCUCCUUUAUGGACUGUGAGACUGUUAUGAAGUUGGUAUGUGGAGAUAUCACUGUUUAUGAGACCACAGUGUACAUCACCAGCAUCCUGUUUAUCCUCCAACCCAUCUUCCUGGUUUCUACAUUCUAUGCCUUCAUCCUUCACAGUGUUCAGCUGGGGGUAAAAGAAAUGCCUUUACCACUUGUAGUUAUCACCUCACUGUGGUUUCCCUCUUGUUUGGUUCCUGCAUACUCUCAUGUAUGAGGCCCAGGUCCAAGUGUACCUCAUUGCAAAACAAAGUUGGUUCUGUGUUCUAUAGCACAAUUACUCCCACACUGAAUCCUUUGAUUUUUACUUUCAUGAAUAAGGAUGUGGCAAAGGCUCUGAGGAUAGUGCUCAGGAGAGAUAUUAGCACCCAAAGACAGAAACUUCAUUUGCCCUGAUUAUGAGAGUGGAAUGGGAUAAGCUCCCUAAAUUGAUCUGGGUAAACCCCUAAGAGUUUUCAAGGGUCCAAAUCCCUGAAUACUACUGCAAAAAUGAAAUGGUCAACACAGAAUUCCAGUAUUUUAACUCAGUCGCAGGCAUCUAAGCACUAUAGAGUACUAUCUUAUGCCAUUUGAGCUGCUAUUCCAAAAAUACCAUAGACUGGGUGGCAAAAACAACAAACAUGCAUAUUUCACACUUCUUGAUACUGAAAAUUCCUAGAUCAACCCUUGAACAUGCUAGACUCUCUCUAAUUUCCUUUUAAUAUCUUUAAAUGUAAACCUGCCAAAAUGUGCUUCCCUGAUGACCAUAUCCAAAGGAACACCCUCCAUUCUCUGUCCCCUGCUUCCAAUUUGUAACACUAUUCUCCAUGAUUUUGCAUGAUGUGAUGUUAUGUUAUGUUAUAUGUAUUGUCUCUUUGACUAGAGUGUAAUCUCCCUGAGGGCAAGGACUUGACUUUGUGUACUAUUGCCUCACCCAGAGUCAAGAAAAGAGCCUGACAUGAAAUAAGUGCUCAGUAACUGUUUGUCGCAUGGAUUAAUAAAUGAAAGGAGCCUCAAUUGCUUUGCUAUCCA
rnacentral:lncRNA from 1 species